CAAGAGGUAGUUUAUAUUAAAAUACUAAUUUUGGGGAUUAGUGAAAAAGAAAUUCUUUUCUCUUGA
rnacentral:tRNA from 1 species